rnacentral:rRNA from 1 species
GCAACGCGAAGAACCUUACCUGGUCUUGACAUCCACAGAACUUUCUAGAGAUAGAUUGGUGCCUUCGGGAACUGUGAGACAGGUGCUGCAUGGCUGUCGUCAGCUCGUGUUGUGAAAUGUUGGGUUAAGUCCCGUAACGAGCGCAACCCUUGUCCCUAGUUGCCAGCACAUAAUGGUGGGGACUCUAGCAAAACUGCCCGUGCAAACGGUGAGGAAGGUGGGGACGACGUCAAGUCAUCAUGGCCCUUACGUGUAGGGCUACAC